rnacentral:rRNA from 1 species
CCUACGGGUGGCAGCAGUGAGGAAUAUUGGUCAAUGGACGAGAGUCUGAACCAGCCAAGUAGCGUGAAGGAUGAAUGCACUGAGGAUUGUAAACUUCUUUUAUAUGGGAAUAAAAUGUUGGACGUGUCGGAUUUUGUGUGUACCAUAUGAAUAAGCAUCGGCUAACUCCGUGCCAGCAGCCGCGGUAAUACGGAGGAUUCGAGCGUUAUCCGGAUUUAUUGGGUUUAAAGGGUGCGUAGGUGGAUUGUUAAGUCAGUUGUGAAAGGUUGCGGCUCAACCGUGACAUCGCAGUUGAAACUGGCAGUCUCGAGUACAGUAGAGGUGGGCGGAAUGCGCGGUGUAGCGGUGAAAUGCUUAGAUAUCACGAAGAACUCCGAUUGCGAAGGCAGCUUACUGGA